UACAGAGGGUGCGAGCGUUAAUCGGAAUUACUGGGCGUAAAGCGCACGUAGGCGGCUUUGUAAGUUAGAGGUGAAAGCCCGGGGCUCAACUCCGGAAUUGCCUUUAAGACUGCAUCGCUAGAAUUGUGGAGAGGUAAGUGGAAUUCCGAGUGUAGAGGUGAAAUUCGUAGAUAUUCGGAAGAACACCAGUGGCGAAGGCGACUUACUGGACACAUAUUGACGCUGAGGUGCGAAAAGCGUGGGGGAGCAAACAGGG
rnacentral:rRNA from 1 species